CCUUCUGCUCCAUGGGAGGUUUCUGUCCUUCCUGAGCUCACCUUAGGACACCUGCAUUACUGUUUGACAGGUGUACCGCCCCAGUCAAACUCCCCACCUGAUGCUGCACCAGGAGCUCGGAAGAGCACACG